ACACUCCUGCGGGAGGCAGCAGUGGGGAAUUUUGGACAAUGGGGGCAACCCUGAUCCAGCAAUGCCGCGUGAGUGAAGAAGGCCUUCGGGUUGUAAAGCUCUUUUGUCAGGGAAGAAACGGUAGUAGCGAAUAACUAUUACUAAUGACGGUACCUGAAGAAUAAGCACCGGCUAACUACGUGCCAGCAGCCGCGGUAAUACGUAGGGUGCAAGCGUUAAUCGGAAUUACUGGGCGUAAAGCGUGCGCAGGCGGUUGUGUAAGUCAGAUGUGAAAUCCCCGGGCUCAACCUGGGAAUUGCAUUUGAGACUGCACGGCUAGAGUGUGUCAGAGGGGGGUAGAAUUCCACGUGUAGCAGUGAAAUGCGUAGAUAUGUGGAGGAAUACCGAUGGCGAAGGCAGCCCCCUGGGAUAACACUGACGCUCAUGCACGAAAGCGUGGGGAGCAAACAGGAUUAGAAACCCCAGUAGUCCCAUGA
rnacentral:rRNA from 1 species